rnacentral:rRNA from 1 species
UACGUAGGGUGCGAGCGUUGUCCGGAAUUAUUGGGCGUAAAGGGCUCGUAGGCGGUUUGUCGCGUCGGGAGUGAAAACACCGGGCUUAACUCGGUGCUUGCUUUCGAUACGGGCAGACGUAGAGGCAUGCAGGGGAGAACGGAAUUCCUGGUGUAGCGGUGAAAUGCGCAGAGUAUCAGGAGGAACACCGGUGGCGAAGGCGGUUCUCUGGGCAUGUCCUGACGCUGAGGAGCGAAAGUGUGGGGAGCGAACAGG